GUCCACGCCGUAACGAUGAAUGCUAGCCGUCGGUGAGCUUGCUCUUCGGUGGCGCAGCUAACGCAAUAAGCAUUCCGCCUGGGAGUACGGUCGCAAGACUAAACUCAAAGGAAUUGACGGGGCCCGCACAAGCGGUGGAGCAUGUGGUUCAAUUCGACGCAACGCGAAGAACCUUACCAGGCCUUGACAUCCCGAUCGCGGCCCCUUGAAAGAGGGGCUUUCAGUUCGGCUGGAUCGGUGACAGGUGCUGCAUGGCUGUCGU
rnacentral:rRNA from 1 species